AGAGUUUGAUCCUGGCUCAGAAUCAACGUUGGCGGCGCGCUUAACACAUGCAAGUCGAACGAGAAAGUGUAGCAAUACAUGAGUACAGUGGCGUACGGGUGAGUAACACGUGGGUAUCUACCUGUUAGUGGGGAAUAACCCUGGGAAACCGGGGCUAAUACCGCAUAAGCCCGAAAGGGGAAACUCGAAAGAGGCUGACAGAAGAGCCCGCGGCCGAUUAGCUAGUUGGUGAGGUAAUGGCUCACCAAGGCUAUGAUCGGUAGCCGGCCUGAGAGGGCACACGGCCACACUGGCACUGAAACACGGGCCAGACUCCUACGGGAGGCAGCAGUGGGGAAUCUUGCACAAUGGGGGAAACCCUGAUGCAGCGACGCCGCGUGAGUGAUGAAGCCCUUCGGGGUGUAAAGCUCUUUCGACGGGAACGAUAAUGACGGUACCCGGAGAAGAAGCUGCGGCUAACUACGUGCCAGCAGCCGCGGUAAUACGUAGGCAGCAAACGUUGUUCGGAAUUACUGGGCGUAAAGAGUGUGUAGGCGGUUCUGUAAGUUUGGUGUGAAAUCUCCCGGCUUAACUGGGAGGGUGCGCCGAAAACUGCAAGGCUUGAGUGCUGGAGAGGAGAGCGGAAUUCCUGGUGUAGCGGUGAAAUGCGUAGAUAUCAGGAGGAACACCGGUGGUGUAGACGGCUUUCUGGACCGUAACUGACGCUGAGACACGAAAGCGUGGGUAGCAAACAGGAUUAGAUACCCUAGUAGUCC
rnacentral:rRNA from 1 species